GACGAACGCUGGCGGCGUGCCUAAUACAUGCAAGUAGAACGCUGAAGAGAGGAGCUUACUCUUCUUGGAUGAGUUGCGAACGGGUGAGUAACGCGUAGGUAACCUGCCUUGUAGCGGGGGAUAACUAUUGGAAACGAUAGCUAAUACCGCAUAACAAUGGAUGACACAUGUCAUUUAUUUGAAAGGGGCAAUUGCUCCACUACAAGAUGGACCUGCGUUGUAUUGGCUAGUAGGUGAGGUAAUGGCUCACCUAGGCGACGAUACAUAGCCGACCUGAGAGGGUGAUCGGCCACACUGGGACUGAGACACGGCCCAGACUCCUACGGGAGGCAGCAGUAGGGAAUCUUCGGCAAUGGGGGCAACCCUGACCGAGCAACGCCGCGUGAGUGAAGAAGGUUUUCGGAUCGUAAAGCUCUGUUGUAAGUCAAGAACGGGUGUGAGAGUGGAAAGUUCACACUGUGACGGUAGCUUACCAGAAAGGGACGGCUAACUACGUG
rnacentral:rRNA from 1 species